AUUUGAACCUACCUUGUUCAGUUUGAAGCCAUUCCCCCUGUCCUGUCACAACAUGCUGUUGUAAAAACUAACUCUCCAUCUGUCUUGUAGGCUCCCUUUAUCAUUAUUAUCAUCUUUAGAUGAUGAUAAAGGAAGAGGAGGGAUGAAGUUGGCCACUCUUCAUCUUUGGAGACACAGUUUCCAGAUCCUGAGUAGUCAUCUGCUGAGAUCAGGAAGAGAUACAUCAUAACAGCAGGCAGAAAAAAAUUGAAAUUAAUUAGGAAUUCAGAGAGCUGGAGCAAAGGGCUUAGGCAAACACAGGGAACAUAAGCAUCAGGAACGUGAUCUUGUCCAGAUCUUUCAGUGAAGGGCCAGACUCAUUAAGGGAUAAGAACCAGGGCUCAUCUUCACAUGGUAUAACUGGGGUGGAGCGUGGCUGCUUUGACCACAGAAUGUGUUUCAUGAGCUGGUGAUGAGACCAGUGCUGCCUCUUGACAAAGAAGAACACCUUGGCUUAUAAAAUUCCUCCUGGAGGAAGAUUUUAGCUGCCCACCAAGGAAAGGUGGACAGAAACUUUUGAGGAAAAAUUCCUUCAUAGGAAAGGGUUGACAAGGAUUGGAACAGGCUGCCCAGGGAAGUGUUGGGGUCACCAUCCCUGCAGGAAUUUAAAGGUGUUGAUGGGGAUGUGGUUUAGUGGUGGACUUGAUCCUGUUGGGUUAAUGGUUGGGCUCAGUGAUCUUGAACAUCUCUUCUAACCUAAAUAAUUCCAAAUUCAAGGUGUGUGCAAACACCAGUGACUUUUGCAAGGACCUAAAAUCAAAGCCAUUCAUGAAAAGGCCCUGAAAGGGUUUAAGACCAUGAAUGAGUCAAUCCAUUGAACAAGCCUGAUUAUUCCCCUUUUAUUUCCUGUCUUUUUGCAUCAGCACGGACAUCUCACAUCAAGAUCACAAGUUACUGGUGCAACUGCUGUGCACUGGUUUGUUCAGUGCUUAUCCAGGCUUAUUAUUUGUAGGGAGGGUCUAAAUACAAGUGUCCAGGUAAUGAUAGAAGAGGAAAGAAACACACUGGGGAAUUAAAAGAGAUUCCUGAUCUAGGAGCAUCCAUAGAUUAAAUCAUUUGGGGGUAAUAGAAGAGUCACACAGAUUGAAGGAGCUGUUGAUUGUAGGGAUUUGAGGGAUUUUUGUAGGAAACUACAGCAGUUAAGGGAAGCUGUCCCUCAGAGAAAGGGCACACACACCUGCCCACUACACAGAGGAAUCCAGAUGAAGCAUAAAAAUGUAGUAAGAGAUUGAACUAAGUGGAGAAUUUCACAUUGACCUCACAAGAACAAAACAUGUAUGGAUUGUGUCACAGCACUGCAGAUAAUUUCUGAAGGAAAUACGGGCCAACACUGGAAGCCGAGAAACAAAAAGAAGUUCAGCCUGCAAAAGGCAUCAGUAGGAAGUGCUGGGAGAGUCUUGUCCCACUUCCCAACAGGAAGGAAAGCUACAGGUUAUACUCAGUAGAAUAAAGAGUAUUUUAUGUGGGUUUUUUUCCUCAGCCUUCACUGGAAAGGCCUGAGGAGGGUAAGGGACUAGUGCUGUUCAAACCAAGAAGGAGAUCCUGCCCUAUAACUGGGUAGGGUAUAACAUAAAGGUCAGUGUUUUCAAAUUAAUUAACUCAAAAGAAUACACUAGAGGACAGUCUGAGACAACAUCAAAUCUACCUGAGAAUUCAUGGAGAAUGAGGGAAAUUCCAGCAGGUUGGAAAGAGUGAAUGUGGUGCCUGUCUUUAACAUAGAGGAUGUUUGGCAGAAAAGGGAAGAGCAACUGGUGAAUUAUGGACCACUCACCUUAACUUCAGCUCUUCAAAAAAUAAAAACUUCUUUAGGCACCAGAAAAUACAAGGCAAGAGCUGCCAGAGUGGUUUUAUCAAGAGCACACUGCAUUAAACCAGUCUAAUUUCAUUCCACAUUAGAUCAACACAGGCUAAGGAAGAAGCUGAGCAGGUCAGAUAUUUUGAUUUUAUUAAGACAUUACACCAUCUGCCACAGUUUUUUUUAUAAAGAAACAGGGAUGCUUGGUCUAGAAUAAAUUACCCAGUCAUGGUUACAAAACUAGUUGUAAAAUUGUGGCAGGGGAGGGUGAUAAGGGGCUCAUGGACAUCAUGGAAGGAUGUGUUGAGUUGGGAUGUAUUGUCCAAUUCUGUCUCAGAUGAGUUGAUGUUCUGAAUGGUGGAAUCAACUACACUUGUAAAGUAUGCAAGAAUUUCAGAGGGUAAGAUUAGCAUCCCAAAUGAUCUUAGAAAAGUGAAGGAAAGACCAGAUUCAAUUCCAACAGCUACACAGACUGUUCCCCUAAAACAGGAAUAAUUGGCUACAAAACCCCAAAGGAAUGGAAAGGACCAAAGAACAACUCACCUUUCCCAAACAGGCUAAAUCUUGCGUAUUCCACAUCCUGGAAUGUCUGAAUCUUUCUUAUUCUGGGGAAUCAGGCACAGGAGGAGCAGUGCAUCCCACUCCUGACAGAGACAACAAGGUUUGAACAGCUGUGCUUGAAAACGCCUUCGUGACUUUUUACCACCCCGGAGCCUCUGCUUUUAAAUGGCUUCGAAAUUGUUCUCAUGUUGCUGUGAGCCAAACGUCUCUUCAAGGUGUUCAGCACUUCAGAAAUGUAGGACAGAUGUUUUGUCAGCUGCUUGUGAACUACAACAGACUUGUGUCUGCCAGAGCCCCGGGAGAGGAUCUUGAGAGAGAACGAAAUAUGUUUGGCUGCCUCGCUGAGACAUUUGGUGGAGGAGGAGGAGGUGAGAGGAGGCCUUUACCAAGAAAGGCUCCAGAACACUGACUGAGUCACCCCAGGAACACUCAGGACCCCAGGAACAAUUGUGACUGGGGAGGAGCCCCCGUGACAAUCCUAAAAUGUCGUUGUCUUGAAGCCCCUAAAACACGUGGGCUGCCUGGAGCAGGGCUGGGGAAAGCAACAGAGUGGAAAAGCAUCAGAGCACAAAAGCAGAUUCUAAUAAGUGCAACACUAAAAAAAAAAACCUUCUCAGUCCUUUUGAGUCAAGUGAAUUGGAGCAACUGAAUGUUCCUUUUCUCAUUUUUGGGCGGCGAUCACGAAAAACAGAUGUUACACUGUGUUAAUUUUUGUCACUGGCAUCCUGCCCCCCCUGGCAAGAUUAAAACAACUCUUGGCAUCCUUGGAGCAGCUGGGCGGCAAAGCUGCUUCCUUUACUCACACAAUGCCACUCUGAAUAACCUCCGAGCCUCAAAUCUUGGUGCUUUGUAAUCCAUGUCCUGGCAGUUUUCUCCUCCGCUCCCCCUGUUCAAACAUGGUAUUCCCCAGCCCUUACGGAGCCUGGAAUGUAUCUUUAAUGCACCAUAAGUGGUGAUGAAAAAUAGAUGUGUAGAAUCCACGACAUGUCUGACACUCAUUUAACUUUCCCUGCAGAAGGAAGGAUGUUUUCAGGGUUGUCUUUGCAGUUUAACUUCUUAGGAAAUUUUUGUAUUCAAGCUUCGUCAAUAAAGCAGGAAAAAGACUUCGGUGUUGGGCAUUUUACCUGGAUGUCUAACAUAAAACAGGAUUUUACAUAAACACUGAAUGCUUCUGACAUCAGACAUAUGAUUUAAAAGUGAAAAGGGCAGUCAUAAAUCAUUUGAAGAAUGAGGGCCAUUAAGUCCAGCAUUGGUAGGUGGAAUGAGAAAAGGAUGACUUAUUUUCUUUUGCUAGAAGCUAAAUGUGAUGUCUUCUGAGGAAAAAAAAUAAAAAUAAAAAAAUAAAAUAAAAAUAGAAAUAGAAAUAGAAAUAGAAA